GGCGGCUCGAGUGGUAACCGUUAUUAUUGGGUCUAAAGGGUCUGUAGCCGGCCGGAUAAGUCUCUUGGGAAAUCUGGCAGCUUAACUGUCAGGCUUUCAGGAGAUACUGUCUGGCUCGAGGCCGGGAGAGGUGAGAGGUACUUCAGGGGUAGGGGUGAAAUCUUGUAAUCCUUGAAGGACCACCAGUGGCGAAGGCGUCUCACCAGAACGGACCUGACGGCAAGGGACGAAAGCUAGGGGCACGAACCG
rnacentral:rRNA from 1 species